UAUGUAUUCUUUUGUCAUCUAAAAAUAUAUUAAAAUAUUUGACCACAAAUUACAAACCAAAACUCAGUCGACAAAGAUUGAAAUUCUUUCAGAAGUAAAGUCAAUAAGUUCACAAAACAAAUAUUUCGGAGACAAAAGCCCAACAAAAAAAAACCACAAACAAAUGGAAAUAAACAAGAAAUGAAGUAUUUAUGACAAAGAAACAAAAAAACUUCAUAACUCAACUGAUAGAAGACCAAAGAUAUUGGAGCCUGAGUUGAAUCCAAAACCAAAAGAUUCGAGAAGCGUCUAAGGUGAAGAUAGACCUUGCUUGAUCCCAAGAAGUAACAGCACGGCAAAGAGGAUGAGGCGAGCGAAAUAAAAGCAAAGCCCAGGAGCUAUUCCAGACACGAAUACACGAAGAAAACGCAGCCCGCAACACAACACUUCAUCUAUCGAAGGAGUAUCGAUCGGAUAGAAAAAUCUAUUAUGAAAAUUUGAUAAAAUAAUUCUUAUACAACGUUCUAGACUUUAUCUGUCACGGUUUCUCCUUUUCAAUACAUUCUGUAUCGCAUGAAACUAAAUUCGUAAAAGACCCCUAUUUAUACUUGUUUUAAAUUCGCAAAGACUGGCACCACAUUAAGUUAAUCGAAGGGUC
rnacentral:lncRNA from 1 species